rnacentral:lncRNA from 1 species
CAUUUAUUUCAUUUAUUCACCAGAUAGUUUUAGUACUGUUUUAGGUAUUGGGGAUAUACCAAGGAAUAAAACAAGAUUCCUGGAGGGAGAGGGGAACGGACAGCAAACAAUAGACACAAUACGAUCGUGAGGUAUAUAGUUAAUGUUGGUGAUGAGUGCUCCUCAAAGGAAACAACUAAAACCAGACAAGGGAAGUCGGGGUGUCAGGGAGAAUGGUUUGUAGUAUUGAUGACAAUGGUUAAGGAAGGCCUGAGUUCUGCAAAGACCUCAAGGAUAUGAGGGACUAGAGUGCCCUCUGCUGUGGAAGAGCCUGCGCAAAGAUCCUGAGGUGGGAGGGGUCAGGGAGCCAACUCAUUUUACGGUAAGUGGAGGUGGGAUCCAGGGGAGGAUUCUGAGCAGAGGAGGGACGUGGCCCAAUUUGGGCUUUGAAAGGAUCCUGCUUGUCUGUGUGCCAGCAUCCUGGUGGUGGUUGGGGGAGUCUGCAUCAAUCCUGGGUGCUGUUACCUGAAAAAAUAGCAGGUGUUAGACGAAAGAACAGAUGUCUGGCCCAUUGUCUCCAGUCUGUUCCUGUCCACAGCUUCCCUUUAUGCUGAGCCCCUGCCACAUGCAUCAUCAUCCUGGCCAUGUGGCAUUGUCACAGACCGUCUCUCCUGCUAGCCUCCUAACUCAGGGCCUGGGUCUUCCCCAGCAUUAAGUAAAUCAGUCUCAGGCAGACAGCCCUUUAUAGGUGUUUGGGCCAGGUGCGGUGGCUCACGCCUGUAAUCCCAGCUCUUUGUGGGGCCGAGGUCUUUGAGCUCAGGAGUUCAAGACCAGCCUGGGCAGCAUGACAAAACCCUGUCUCUACCAAAAAUACAAAAAUUAGCCACGCAUGGUGGCACACACCUGUGGUCCCAGCUACUCGGGAGGCUGAGGUGGGAGGAUCGCUGGAGCCUGGGAAGUUGAGGCUGCAGUGAGCCGUGAUCAUGCCACUGCAUUCCAGCCUGUGUGAUGGAGAGAGACCCUGUCUCAAAAAAAA